rnacentral:rRNA from 1 species
AUGGCUUGCUUCCCAACCACAUGUGCUCCCCACGGUGAGGAACGGACAUGCUCAACGCCUUCCUUCCCAACCAGAUAUGAGAAAGAAGAAAUAGGACCAAGAAAAUUAGUUGCUCAUAUAUUCAUCUGUCUUGCGGAGAAGAACCCGAAUGGAGAACUUGGUAUGCCGAGUAAUGUGCAGGUUGCUUUUGUCCUCUCACCUGCUCUUUGGUCUUCGUCUAUUGCUCUGCUGGCUCGUCAUCUCCUUGGUUGGAGGAAUUAUUUCAUUGUUGGAAGCUUUCAUCUGCAUAUAUGCCUUCAUCAACACCUUACAUUUGCUUGGUAG